rnacentral:rRNA from 1 species
UACGUAGGGUGCAAGCGUUGUCCGGAAUUAUUGGGCGUAAAGAGCUUGUAGGCGGUUUGUCGCGUCUGCUGUGAAAUUUCGGGGCUCAACCCCGAACUUGCAGUGGGUACGGGCAGACUAGAGUGUGGUAGGGGAGACUGGAAUUCCUGGUGUAGCGGUGAAAUGCGCAGAUAUCAGGAGGAACACCGAUGGCGAAGGCAGGUCUCUGGGCCACUACUGACGUGAGAAGCGAAAGCAUGGGGAGCGAACGG